ACAUAUAAAAUCAGGUUCUGCAAUAGUCCUUUUUUUUAAAAAAAAAGAAGGGAUUUCUCCCUCCGGCUUUCAUUAAAAAAACCAAUGUGUCUACAAGAUUCCAAGAUCUUGUAAAGUCCCAACAGAGUUAACCACACAAAAACUAGCAGCAACAAAGAAAAUUUCAACGCUUGAAUACUGACAGCUAAGAGCAUAACAUCUGUAGCAAACAGACCAACCUUUACUUCGUUGUUACUUUUUUUUGACAAAACAGCAGCAGCGCUGCAUUUCAUUGAUUAAGAUAGAACAAAAGAGUUAUUUACAACUCCAAGAUGGAGAACAAAAACAGAAAACAAAAAACAGCCUAGAAAAGAUCUUCGGGUGGGCGAACCCUAUGAAAUCAACAACUCUCAAUCAUCUAAAGGAGGUGACCGUCUUGCAACCAACAAGCUUCCAAGUCAGGAGCUCGUCGAAGGCAAGAUCACAGAGCUUGGCAACGGAAGAAUGAUGUGAUUGAAACACCCUCUGGUUUCGCUCGAGCCAAAUAUGCCACCAUGCCAGC
rnacentral:lncRNA from 1 species